AUAACCAGCCGAAAGGUUGAGUAAUACUCGAUAGUCCCCGCACUUAACAGACCUCGCUUGAGCUUGUGCUCAAGCUAAGACAAAAAUGCUAGGCAUUUUUGAAAGGCCUGUUAAGUGCGGGGUAAAGAUUUGUUGCCGCAAGGUAAUAUUUUCGCUUCGAAAGACGCCUGCGUCCUAUCAGCUUGUUGGUGAGGUAAUGGCUUACCAAGGCUAUGACGGGUAGCUGGUCUGAGAGGACGAUCAGCCACAGUGGAACUGAGACACGGUCCACACUCCUACGGGAGGCAGCAGUCGGGAAUUGUCGGCAAUGGGCGAAAGCCUGACCGCGCGACGCCGCGUGAAGGAAGAAGGUCUUCGGAUUGUAAACUUCUUUUAUAGGGGAUGAUUAUGACAGUACCCUAUGAAUAAGGGCCUGCUAACUACGUGCCAGCAGCAGCGGUAAUACGUAGGGCCCGAGCGUUAUCCGGAAUUAUUGGGCGUAAAGAACGUGUAGGCGUUCCUUCAAGUCAGUCGUUAAAUUUCACCGCCCAACGGUGAAACCGCGAGUGAAACUGAAGGAA
rnacentral:rRNA from 1 species